rnacentral:lncRNA from 1 species
UAAAAGUUUUUUUUUUUUUAAUUUAAACGCUUAAGUGUAGAAAAGUUAUCAAUUGAACGUUGGUUUAUAGUUGUCUCAUUGACAGUCAUACCACAUCUCCUUAUUUGUAUAUAAUAAUUUUUAUACUCUUUUAGAUAUGUUAUCUGACGAUGGUGAAGAUUGUGAAUUUGAUAGCAGUGCAGAGCAUUUCACCAGUAAUUACAUAACCAUGUUUCUCAUGUGCGGAGUAGUUUUUGCAAUGUAUGUCUUGUAAUGCGAGCUGAAAACAAUUUACGUAGUUCACAGUUUUGUUUUAAAAAUAUUUAUUCUUUCACCUUUUUACAGAAUAUAUCACCAUGUCAUAUGUUGAUUGACUGCUAACUGAAUAAAACAGCAAAUUUUGAUGAUUAAAUG